GGCGGUUUUUUAAGUUCUGAAUGUGAAAGCCCCCGGCUUCAACCGGGGAGGGUCAUUGGAAACUGGGGAACUUGAGUGCAGAAGAGGAGAGUGGAAUUCCACGUGUAGCGGUGAAAUGCGUAGAGAUGUGGAGGAACACCAGUGGCGAAGGCGACUCUCUGGUCUGUAACUGACGCUGAGGAGCGAAAGCGUGGGGAGCGAACAGGAUUAGAUACCCUGGUAGUCCACGCCGUAAACGAUGAGUGCUAAGUGUUAGGGGGUUUCCGCCCCUUAGUGCUGCAGCUAACGCAUUAAGCACUCCGCCUGGGGAGUACGGUCGCAAGACUGAAACUCAAAGGAAUUGACGGGGGCCCGCACAAGCGGUGGAGCAUGUGGUUUAAUUCGAAGCAACGCGAAGAACCUUACCAGGUCUUGACAUCCUCUGACAAUCCUAGAGAUAGGACGUCCCCUUCGGGGGCAGAGUGACAGGUGGUGCAUGGUUGUCGUCAGCUCGUGUCGUGAGAUGUUGGGUUAAGUCCCGCAACGAGCGCAACCCUUGAUCUUAGUUGCCAGCAUUCAGUUGGGCACUCUAAGGUGACUGCCGGUGACAAACCG
rnacentral:rRNA from 1 species